rnacentral:rRNA from 1 species
UUCGCCUACAUGAAGCCGGAAUUGCUAGUAAUGGCAGGUCAGCAUACUGCCGUGAAUACGUUCCCGGGCCUUGUACACACCGCCCGUCACACCAUGAGAGUUGGGGAUACCCGAAGCCUGUGAGCCAACUAUAUAGAGGCAGCAGUCGAAGGUAGAAUCAAUGAUUGGGGUGAAGUCGUAACAAGGUAAC